GAUGAACGCUGGCGGCGUGCUUAACACAUGCAAGUCGAGCGAGUGAGUUCUUCGGAACGAUCUAGCGGCGGACGGGUGAGUAACACGUGGGCAACCUGCCUCAUAGAGGGGAAUAGCCUCCCGAAAGGGAGAUUAAUACCGCAUAAAAUUAUCGAGUGGCAUCACACGGUAAUCAAAGGAGCAAUCCGCUAUGAGAUGGGCCCGCGGCGCAUUAGCUAGUUGGUGAGGUAACGGCUCACCAAGGCGACGAUGCGUAGCCGACCUGAGAGGGUGGUCGGACACAUUGGGACUGAGACACGGCCCAGACUCCUACGGGAGGCAGCAGUGGGGAAUAUUGCACAAUGGGGGAAACCCUGAUGCAGCAACGCCGCGUGAGUGAUGAAGGUCUUCGGAUUGUAAAGCUCUGUCUUUGGGGACGAUAAUGACGGUACCCAAGGAGGAAGCCACGGCUAACUACGUGCCAGCAGCCGCGGUAA
rnacentral:rRNA from 1 species